CCUACGGGAGGCAGCAGUGGGGAAUCUUGCGCAAUGGGCGGAAGCCUGACGCAGCAACGCCGCGUGCGGGAAGAAGGCCUUAGGGUCGUAAACCGCUUUCAGGGGGGACGAAGCUUCCGGGGUUAAUAGCCUACGGGGUGACGGUACUCCCAAAAGAAGGUCCGGCUAACUACGUGCCAGCAGCCGCGGUAAUACGUAGGGACCGAGCGUUGUCCGGAAUCAUUGGGCGUAAAGAGCGUGUAGGCGGCUUGGUAGGUCUCGUGUGAAAUCCCGCGGCUCAACCGCGGAUCCGCACGGGAAACCCCUAAGCUCGAGUCCGGAAGAGGAGAGUGGAAUUCCUGGUGUAGCGGUGAAAUGCGCAGAUAUCAGGAAGAACACCCGUAGCGAAGGCGGCUCUCUGGGACGGUACUGACGCUGAGACGCGAAAGCGUGGGGAGCAAACAGGAUUAGAUACCCUGGUAGUCCACGCCGUAAACCGAUGGGCGCUAGGUGUGGGAGGUGUCGACUCCUCCCGUGCCGAAGCUAACGCAUUAAGCGCCCCGCCUGGGGAGUACGGCCGCAAGGCAAAACUCAAAGGAAUUGACGGCNGAGACGNGCGACGACGACGACGAGGAGAG
rnacentral:rRNA from 1 species